rnacentral:lncRNA from 1 species
UCAUAGUGGAUAAUUAGGAACAGACCACAUUAUCUCAUUUAUUCUCACACCAUUCUCUGAAACUAAAGUAGGAACAUUAUCCAGAACCUUGAAUGGUAAAGAUCAAGGACUGUAAGGGGCUACAACCCUGGAGGAGGGAGGAUGAGGGGCCGGGCCAGGCUGUGAAAUGCCACAUGGUAGGUGUCCUGCCCCCACCAGGCCACAUGUGCUUCCUCAUUUUAAUUCUCAAGACCACAUGAAGUUGUUGUCCCCAUUUUACAGAUGAGUCCAGGGAUCUGAGAGGUUAAUAAACAUGCCAAGGAUACACAUCUGGAAAAUAACAGAGCUAGGAGGUAUACCUGAGAUUUUACCUCACCCCAAACCCUUGUCUCUUUCCACGAGAACCAGGAAGCUCACCAGAAAUCUCAUACAGCACAUAUAUGGAAAAAAAAAACUGAUUUGAUUGAUACAUAAUGAAAUUCCAGAAUUCAUUAACAGAACGAGAAGAAACCUGGAAUAUUUAUGGUGUAGGUUCCCAAUAGGCAGCUGUUCAGGUCCUUUCCUACCCUGCCUUUCCGCACUCCUCCUCUCAGUGAUUAGCCCAUAGGUCUGCCCAGGAUCCACACCUUAGAAUCAUCUUUGUUCCCUCUCUUUGCUCCUCUCCUCCUUUAUCAAAUUAGUGAUAACAAUUCUGUCUCUCUUAAGUUCUCAAUGUCUUUCACAUUUAUGCCCCCCACCCCCACACACAUGCACUCUUUUUUCUUAUAUAGGAGGCAGCAGCAUAAAUCAGGGAUGUGAAGCCUAAACUACUGCAUUAGCCUCCUCACCUAACUUUGCAUCUUGAAACUGCCAAUAUCUUGCAGCCAGAUUAAUUUUUAAAUAUUUGAGUGGUAUCAGAGGUUGUGCUUAUCUGCCAUGAGAGGCAAAAGAGCUAUAGCCCCAUCCUUUUGGAGCUUAUAAUCUAAUGAGUACACAGACAAAAACAUGCAAAGAAAUUCCAAAGACCACGGGCUGUAUCAGAUGAAUAGGGAGGAGGGGCGAGGCAAAAUGCAGAGUCCAGGAUGAGCUGUGG